rfam:Salmo salar isolate Sally breed double haploid chromosome ssa07, whole genome shotgun sequence.
UGCAUUCACUACUGUAAGUCGCUCUGGAUAAGAGCGUCUGCUAAAUGACAAUCU